ensembl:lincRNA
UUACAUUACUUCUCUAUAAGACUUCCCCAAACCCAGCCUCCCCCCAAAAAAGUGCUCCAUUCCCUGAACUCAAAAAUGUCUCUCAUUCUAUCUAUCUAGCAACGAUGCUCUCACUGUCUUGCAUCAUCUCACAUUCUUGUUUUGUGACAUCAUAUAACUGUUAUUACACUAUAAUCUGGCUUCUCACAUACACAAGCCUUGAUUCCUGAGUUUGAUCUUAACUCUUUUGAAAGGGAAGUCCAUAAUUAUUUUAGCUUUCUUCUCUAAGGCAGUAAACUGCACAUGUGCCUUACAGGGUGCCCAGCACCUAGACCCAGGCUUGCCAGUGCUCCUGCAUAAAACUCCAACCUCUGAUUUGCUUCACUGGCCAGCACCCGCCAUCUCCUGCAGGACACCCGAUAACACUGUGACAGGGGACCGUCAUGCCUUUUGACCCUGCGUAAUAAUUCCAGCUGAUGCUAAAGAAAGCGGAUUUCAAAAGUGGCCCCAGCCAGCUGCAAAACCAACAGGGUUCAUCACUUGAGACAGAGUGUUGCUCAGCAGAGCCCAUUGAGUCUGAAUUUGAGAAUUUGGGGCAAAAAGCUCACAACUUAAAAAUAGCAUCAAAAACUUGGCUGAAAGGGUUCCCAGGUGACCCUCACAGAUCAUAUCACACAGACUCCAGUUUGAUGUGAGUCAAAGGAAGAUGCGACUGGCAGGUACGCCCAAUUACGCCCCAGGCUCUCCUCCAACUGCCUGCCACUUUACAGAAAGGGAACUCCUUUACAAAGUUAUAAUCGCCUAGCAGAAUGUGCCCUUUACACAAAAAUGCCCCGUCAAGGAAUCCACGCCGCCUCUGGUCAACUCACAGAAGUGCUUCGUGUCAAAUUUCGGCUUUGAAGGAAGAUGACAAGUGAGUUCCUCGCAUUAUAUUUCUCUGUUUGUUUUGGAUGUGGGAUGGGCCUCCGUGACACCAAACAUCUGGAUAAACAUUUUUAAAGUGUCUCUGAACCAGUGGUCCAAGUGCUUAUUUUCAAAAAGACCAAAGAAUCAAAGGGCUGGAAGAUUUACUCUCUUUCCAGCUUCUCAUCCAAGGCUCUUGAACAACCCAGUCACCGCCCUUACCCCGUUGCUGCAUCGCACUUGGUUCAUUGGUUUCUAUGAAAAUAAGGAGAUUUGAACUCAUUCAUUGAUCAUCGGUUGAGAACUACAUUGAGCUAUGUCAGCCCUGAUUUGGUUGAUUUUACUCAGUAAAAUUUAACGAUGCCAUAAAGCAUUAAGAGCCAGCCAAAGCAUCAGAGUCUGAACAACCACGGACCAUUACACACCAAAGGAAAGUAUCUACUAGGACUUCUCAUUCGUGUUAGAUAAUGAAUAAAAAUGAUGGAAAAGGGCAGUAUUUCGGUCAUUAGCCCACAAUUAAACACAACUUGGCUGCCAACAGGACACAAAGCCACAGCUCUGGAGUCUGAUCGUUCAUCUCUUCCUCCCACCGUAACGAGGCAGCAGGAGUGAGCCCUCAGCUGCUUCCCUGGGCUUCCCUUUUGCAGGCACGUGCCCUGGGGAACCCUGAAGGCAACACACAUCACAAAUGUGCAUGAACUGUGUCUUCAUAAAUGCCCUCAGCUGGGAUAGAGAUCCUCCGAUGAAUAAUAAAGUCACCACAUCUCAG